UACGUAGGGGGCAAGCGUUUGUCCGGAUUUACUGGGCGUAAAGAGCGUGUAGGCGGCCAAGCAGGUCCGUUGUGAAAACUGGAGGCUUAACCUCCAGACGUCGACGGAAACCGCGUGGCUAGAGUCCGGAAGAGGAGAGUGGAAUUCCUGGUGUAGCGGUGAAAUGCGCAGAUAUCAGGAAGAACACCAAUGGCGAAGGCAGCUCUCUGGGACGGUACUGACGCUGAGACGCGAAAAGCGUGGGGGAGCGAACAGG
rnacentral:rRNA from 1 species